AUUGCUUCUUGGCCAUUUGGCUAAGAUCAAGUGUAGUAUCUGUUCUUAUCAGUUUAAUAUCUGAUACAUCCUCUAUCCAAGGACAAUAUAUUGAAUGGAUUUUUGGAAUAGAGAGAUGGAACAGGAGCUUGCUCUGUCCACUCCAUGUAUCAACUUGGUAUUGCAGUCCCUCCAGGAAUGGUGCACAUUGA
rnacentral:snRNA from 1 species